UACGUAGGGUGCAAGCGUUAAUCGGAAUUACUGGGCGUAAAGCGCACGUAGGCGGAUACUUAAGUCAGGGGUGAAAUCCCGGGGCUCAACCCCGGAACUGCCUUUGAUACUGGGUAUCUCGAGUCCGGAAGAGGUGAGUGGAAUUCCGAGUGUAGAGGUGAAAUUCGUAGAUAUUCGGAGGAACACCAGUGGCGAAGGCGGCUCACUGGUCCGGUACUGACACUGAGGUGCGAAAGCGUGGGGAGCAAACAGG
rnacentral:rRNA from 1 species